UUGAACGCUGGCGGCAGGCCUAACACAUGCAAGUCGAGCGGCAGCGCGGGGCAACCUGGCGGCGAGCGGCGGACGGGUGAGUAACGCGUAGGAAUCUACCCAGUAGCGGGGGAUAGCCCGGGGAAACUCGGAUUAAUACCGCAUACGCCCUAAGGGGGAAAGCAGGGGAUCGUAAGACCUUGCACUAUUGGAAGAGCCUGCGUUGGAUUAGCUAGUUGGUAGGGUAAAGGCCUACCAAGGCGACGAUCCAUGACUGGUCUGAGAGGAUGAUCAGUCACACCGGAACUGAGACACGGUCCGGACUCCUACGGGAGGCAGCAGUGGGGAAUAGUGGACAAUGGGGGCAACCCUAGUCCAGCCAUGCCGCGUGUGUGAAGAAGGCCUUCGGGUUGUAAAGCACUUUAAGUGGGGAGAAAGGUUCGGCAGCUAAUACCUGCCGGAAGUGAUGUUACCCACAGAAUAAGCACCGGCUAACUCUGUGCCAGCAGCCGCCGUAA
rnacentral:rRNA from 1 species